UAAGUAAUCAUCGCUGCCCGGGUGGCAUCACAUACGCAUGGACACGCGAUGGUAAAGGCGUGCGUUGCACAGUGCGAGUGCUGUCGACGGACUCUCGCUCUCGCUUCUCCUGCUCACAUCGUUCCCCUAAACCAGCGAAGGCAAGUGUGCACCGGUCCCUGCGGGCAAGUAUGAGUGCCCCUCCCUUUGCGCACCGCCCACUCAUCGUUGCACGCCUCUUCUCGGGAACACAACGGUGCGACGAGAUCGGGGGCGGGGCAAUCGUGCUUUCUAUCCUUCGGCCAGUGCCAGCGCUGUCUUGCUUCUGCCUGUCAGCGCACGCUUUAGUUUACCUUCUCUUGGAGAAUGAGGGCCCCAGCGACAUCAUGGCCUCUUAUCUCUCGUCAGUUUCACUGCCUGUGCUUCCAGGGUGAGUCUCGCCCACACCACCCCCUUCAUGUCUUCACCUCGUGAGACAGGAGGCUGGAAAGACGUGUGGGACAGCACUCUUGUCCGUGCACAAGUACAGGCACAUGCGUGUAUUGAUGCCCCUGUAUGAGAGAGACACCCUCUAUGCCUGCCGUUGUGGCCCUCUCGGUGUAGGCGGCGCGACCGCACAGGCACACCGCCCCCAGCAGUCGGAUCUACGGAGACGAAUGUGCGAACUCGCUCAAUGGCCUCGAUGCAACUCCCCCCUCCCUUCUCCCUCCCUCCGUCCAUAUCUCUCCCGCUAG
rnacentral:misc_RNA from 1 species